GUUGGCUGCUGUGAGAAGGGUCAGUGCUUAGAGGAGCUGCCUACAAGAAACAUCAAGGAGUGAGCAGGUGCACAAGACAGGAGGGAGCAUGGCCAGGACAUGACCCAAACAGGCCAAAGGGAUACUCCAUACCAGAGAAUUUCAUGCCCCAUAUAUAAACUGGGGAAGUUGGCCAAACGAUGCCUGUCACCGCUUGGGGACAAGCAGGGCAUGAAAAGCAAGACUGAGCGUGGGGAGUGAGAGACAAGCAUGUUACUUAACUGCUUUCAUACAAUAGCAUGAAAGAAAACAGGAAUUAUUAAUUCUCUGGAUGAUGAUUAUUUCUUCCCUGUUGGAUCAAGUCCAUCUCUAUACAUGCUGACUUUUAUAUAGAAAAUAUGGAAAUCAAAUAAAAAGUGUGAGAUUCAGUUUUAGAUUAAAAUAUUUCACUUUAAA